AGAUCAACUCCGCGGUGAAGGAAUAUCCCACAGUCCCGUGAAGCUUCGCGUCAAGACACAAGAAAGCUCACAUCACGGCAGUUGACGAGUGAUAAAGUUGAACGCUCACCUAUCCAGACAAGAAAGAGAUUCCUAAAUUGUUAGCAAACAGGGCAGAAGUGGACAGAAUGCAGAAUAAUCGCAGAAAGGGAUGCGAGAACGCGCCACGCGUGUUUCCAAGACAAUUUGUGACUUUUCAAAAACUACCCGAUAAAAGACAUACCAUACAGUCGGGAAAAGGUCAGUGAGUGAGUCAGUACGCUCCACAAGACUAG